GACGAACGCUGGCGGCGUGCUUAACACAUGCAAGUCGAGCGGUAAGGCCCUUUCGGGGGUACACGAGCGGCGAACGGGUGAGUAACACGUGGGUGACCUGCCCUCAGCUCUGGGAUAAGCCUGGGAAACCGGGUCUAAUACCGGAUACGACUCCAUGACGCAUGUUGUGGGGUGGAAAGCCUUGUGCGGCUGAGGAUGGGCCCGCGGCCUAUCAGCUUGUUGGUGGGGUGAUGGCCACCAAGGCGACGACGGGUAGCCGGCCUGAGAGGGCGACCGGCCACACUGGGACUGAGACACGGCCCAGACUCCUACGGGAGGCAGCAGUGGGGAAUCUUGCGCAAUGGGCGAAGGCCUGACGCAGCGACGCCGCGUGAGGGAUGACGGCCUG
rnacentral:rRNA from 1 species